rnacentral:rRNA from 1 species
GAUGAACGCUGGCGGCGUGCCUAAUACAUGCAAGUCGAGCGAACGGACGAUAAGCUUGCGUCUCUGAUGUUAGCGGCGGACGGGUGAGUAACACGUGGAUAACCUACCUAUAAGACUGGGAUAACUUCGGGAAACCGGAGCUAAUACCGGAUAAUAUUUUGAACCGCAUGGUUCAAAAGUGAAAGACGGUCUUGCUGUCACUUAUAGAUGGAUCCGCGCUGCAUUAGCUAGUUGGUAAGGUAACGGCUUACCAAGGCAACGAUGCAUAGCCGACCUGAGAGGGUGAUCGGCCACACUGGAACUGAGACACGGUCCAGACUCCUACGGGAGGCAGCAGUAGGGAAUCUUCCGCAAUGGGCGAAAGCCUGACGGAGCAACGCCGCGUGAGUGAUGAAGGUCUUCGGAUCGUAAAGCUCUGUUAUUAGGGAAGAACAUAUGUGUAAGUAACUGUGCACAUCUUGACGGUACCUAAUCAGAAAGCCACGGCUAACUACGUG